rnacentral:rRNA from 1 species
AGAACGAACGCUGGCGGCAGGCUUAACACAUGCAAGUCGAACGGUUGUAGCAAUACAGCAGUGGCAGACGGGUGAGUAACACGUGGGAACCUUCCUAGGGGUACGGAACAACUCAGGGAAACUUGAGCUAAUACCGUAUACGUCCGUAAGGAGAAAGAUUCAUCGCCCCUAGACGGGGCCCGCGUAGGAUUAGGUAGUUGGUGAGGUAACGGCUCACCAAGCCUACGAUCCUUAGCUGAUCUGAGAGGAUGAUCAGCCACACUGGGACUGAGACACGGCCCAGACUCCUACGGGAGGCAGCAGUGGGGAAUCUUGGACAAUGGGCGCAAGCCUGAUCAGCCAUGCGCGUGAGUGAAGAAGGCCUUCGGGUUGUAAAGCUCUUUUACCAGGGACGAUAAUGACGUACCUGGAGAAGUAAGUACCCGGCAAACUUCGUAGCCAGCAGCCGC